GAUGAACGCUGGCGGCGUGCCUAAUACAUGCAAGUCGAGCGAACAGACGAGGAGCUUGCGCCUCUGACGUUAGCGGCGGACGGGAGAGUAACACGUGGAUAACCUACCUAUAAGACUGGGAUAACUUCAGGAGAUCAUAGCUAAUACCGGAUAAUAUAUCGAACCGCAUGGUUCAAUAGUUAAAGACGGUUUUGCUGUCACUUAUAGAUGGCUCCGCGCCGCAUUAGCUAGUUGGCAAGGUAACGGCUUACCAACGCAACGAUGCGUAGCCGACCUGAGAGGGUGAUCGGCCACACUGGAACUGAGACACGGCCCAGACUCCUACGGGAGGCAGCAGUAGGGAAUCUUCCGCAAUGGGCGAAAGCGUGACAGAGCAACGCCGCGUGAGUGAUGAAGGUCUUCGGAUCGUAAAACUCUGUUGUUCGGGAAGAACAAAUGUGUAAGUAACUAGGCAGGUCAUGACGGUACCGAAUCAGAAAGCCACGGCUAACUACGUG
rnacentral:rRNA from 1 species